rnacentral:rRNA from 1 species
UACGUAGGUGGCAAGCGUUGUCCGGAAUUAUUGGGCGUAAAGCGCGCGCAGGCGGAUCAGUUAGUCUAUCUUAAAAGUUCGGGGCUUAACCCCGUGAUGGGAUGGAAACUGCUGAUCUAGAGUAUCGGAGAGGAAAGUGGAAUUCCUAGUGUAGCGGUGAAAUGCGUAGAUAUUAGGAAGAACACCAGUGGCGAAGGCGACUUUCUGGACGAAAACUGACGCUGAGGCGCGAAAGCCAGGGGAGCGAACGGG